AAAGGGUUUCUUUGUGUAGCCUUGGCUGUCCUUGAAUCUCUCUGUAGACCAGGCUGGCCUCAAACUCGUAGAGAUCUGCCUGCCUCUGCCUCCCGAGUGCUGGGAUUAAAGGCCUGUACCACCCCCCAGCUGAACCCAGGACCUCUUGCAUGCCAGGCAAGCAUUCUGCCAGUGAGCCACAUCCCCAGGUGGUGUCUUCCAGCAUAAUUAAUGUAUGUGUCGUGUGUAUACAGAGGAACUAAUGUAUGUGUUGUGUGUAUACAGAGGGAUUAAUGUAUGUGUUAUGUGUUUACAGAGGACAACUUGUAGGAAACAAUUUCCUCCUCCACCACAUGGUCCAGGGAUCAAACUCAGGCAGGGCUUUGCUGCAGGUGUGUCCUGAGUCCAUCACUAGCCACACCUGUGUUUUACGAGUAGAUUGAUGGCUAUAGCUUUCUCUCCACUACUGCAAGAAUUAAAAAGCCACCCGACUGUAGAAGAAGCUUCUUCAGGUUUCCACAGACACCACAGGCCCUAGGCUAAGGACAG
rnacentral:lncRNA from 1 species